GAUGAACGCUGGCGGCGUGCCUAAUACAUGCAAGUCGAGCGAACAGACGAGGAGCUUGCUCCUCUGACGUUAGCGGCGGACGGGUGAGUAACACGUGGAUAACCUACCUAUAAGACUGGGAUAACUUCGGGAAACCGGAGCUAAUACCGGAUAAUAUAUUGAACCGCAUGGUUCAAUAGUUAAAGACGGUUUUGCUGUCACUUAUAGAUGGAUCCGCGCCGCAUUAGCUAGUUGGUAAGGUAACGGCUUACCAAGGCAACGAUGCGUAGCCGACCUGAGAGGGUGAUCGGCCACACUGGAACUGAGCCACGGUCCAGACUCCUACGGGAGGCAGCAGUAGGGAAUCUUCCGCAAUGGGCGAAAGCCUGACGGAGCAACGCCGCGUGAGUGAUGAAGGUCUUCGGAUCGUAAAACUCUGUUAUUAGGGAAGAACAAAUGUGUAAGUAACUAUGCACGUCUUGACGGUACCUAAUCAGAAAGCCACGGCUAACUACGUG
rnacentral:rRNA from 1 species